rnacentral:rRNA from 1 species
UACGUAGGGUGCGAGCGUUGUCCGGAAUUAUUGGGCGUAAAGAGCUCGUAGGCGGUCUGUCGCGUCGAUCGUGAAAACUUGGGGCUUAACCCUGAGCUUGCGGUCGAUACGGGCAUGACUGGAGUUCGGCAGGGGAGACUGGAAUUCCUGGUGUAGCGGUGAAAUGCGCAGAUAUCAGGAGGAACACCGGUGGCGAAGGCGGGUCUCUGGGCUGACACUGACGCUCAUGCACGAAAGCGUGGGGAGCGAACAGG